UUUAGAGGUUCUAGUCUAUGAUUUUUUUCGAUGAAAACUGUAAAAACACUGUUAUUUUUAGGGAUUUGAGGGUUUGAGGGCUGUACUAGACUUGCUCUAACCCUAACAUCCAAAUAGGGCCAGAGUAUCAAACCGGGCCUUUGUGCUAGAUGUAAUUUCGGAUGAGAUUUGGACGUUUGAGUUUUAAAUAAAGCAGCGACAUUAAUAAUUUCUCCCUAAUAAUAAAGAAAAUAAGGUUUCUGGUCGUCCGUCAUCGGAAAUACCCCUGAAGUUGGCAUAAAUUACCCAUCAUGCCACCCGUAAGUCAAAAACGAUUCAGUUUUUCUUAAAUCACCGCGCGACGCGUAUUCCUUAUAGCGACCUAUGCCAUUCUAUAUCAACUGUCAAACACUAGCGGGAUAGAGUGUGCCUUA
rnacentral:lncRNA from 1 species